GUGGGAUCUUCCCGGACCGGGCACGGACGCGCGUCCCCUGCAUCGGCAGGCGGACUCUCAACCACUGUGCCACCAGGGUUGGCUUAUACUGAGAUGAACACCAGGUGAUUUUGUAAGUUGUAUGUUGAAGGCCACUGAGAUACAAGUUGGAAGAAAUUGGAUCCUGAAUCAGUGCAUAGGAGCCAGUUGCACAAGAGAGUUUCCUGGAGAAUAUCCAUCUUUGGAAUGUUUCACAGGAAGAGAUGAACUUUUAUUCUAAGCCAAUGAGAUUUGAGGAUUCGUCACUUACAGCAGCUGGUGUCACCAUAACUAAUACACUCUUCACAGAGAUUUACGUGGAGGGCCUCUGGAAGGUGAUGACUGGUCUAAUUCCUCUGGAUUUCCUCAAUACCCAGCACGUCGUCUGGCACAGUGUAGAAACUCAGUGUUUCCUGCCGAGUGAAUGUUGAGGACAUUUCCAAGAAAGAAAAUGUGAGAUGGAUUUUCUUUGACAGAUUAUGCUCCAUUCAAAGACAUCUGGGCCAGUGAAAGACAGCUUCAGAGUCUGCUUGCACCUGAGUUUUCACAAAGGAGUGAUGAAUGUAGAAUGGAAUCAAGUUAGACAUAGAGACAGAGCUGGUUCAAAUAACUUGGAUGUUUGCCAGCUUGUUACUUAACCCUCAUCAGUAUCAGAAUGUUCAAACGUAAAACAUGGAUCACAGCACCUACUGAUUAGGUUGUGUCGGGUUCAAAUGAAAUAAUGCAUCUGCGAGAUGCAAUGCUGGGUUCAGAUAGGCGCUCAAUAAUAAUAUAACUGAUGAUACUUACCACCUGUCUUCUAGGCAUGGCACAAGAUUAUUUACAUUCUAUGAAGCUUUUUCUUCAACCAAUGGCCAUGCAUUAAUCAGUUUUGACAUGCCAAGCAGUAUGAGAGGUUCAAGGGUACAACAGUGACCAAGGCACCGUCAAGUGGGGAAGUCAGACAAAUAAACUUAUCUCAGCAUCAUCCACUGCAGUUAGCCUCC